rnacentral:misc_RNA from 1 species
GAUGAAGAACGUAGCGAAAUGCGAUAAGUAGUGUGAAUUGCAGAAUUCAGUGAAUCAUCGAAUCUUUGAACGCACAUUGCGCCCUUUGGUAUUCCUUAGGGCAUGCCUGUUCGAGCGUCAUUUAAACCUUCAAGCUAAGCUUGGUGUUGGGUGACUGUCCGCUUCACGGCGGACUCGCCUCAAAAUUAUUGGCGGCCGGUACAUUGGCUUCGAGCGCAGCAGAAACGCGAACUCGGGCCCGUCGUAUUGGCUCCCAGAAGCUAUCUUCACAAUUUUGACCUCGGAUCAGGCAGGGAUACCCGCUGAACUUAAGCAUAUCAAUAAGCGGAGGA